UGGGGAAUAUUGCACAAUGGGCGCAAGCCUGAUGCAGCAACGCCGCGUGAGGGAUGACGGCCUUCGGGUUGUAAACCUCUUUUAGUAGGGAAGAAGCCUUUUAGGUGACGGUACUUGCAGAAAAAGCGCCGGCUAACUACGUGCCAGCAGCCGCGGUAAUACGUAGGGCGCAAGCGUUGUCCGGAAUUAUUGGGCGUAAAGAGCUCGUAGGCGGUUUGUCGCGUCUGCCGUGAAAUCCUCAGGCUUAACCUGGGGCGUGCGGUGGGUACGGGCAGGCUAGAGUGCGGUAGGGGAGAUUGGAAUUCCUGGUGUAGCGGUGGAAUGCGCAGAUAUCAGGAGGAACACCGAUGGCGAAGGCAGAUCUCUGGGCCGCUACUGACGCUGAGGAGCGAAAGCAUGGGGAGCGAACAG
rnacentral:rRNA from 1 species